AGAAAUAUUCUAAGACAUGAAAAGCAAGGACCUACAGCCAAGAGUGCUCAACCCAGCAAACAUAUCAUUUAGAAUCGAAGGCAGAUAAAGAGCUUCCCAGACAAGCAAAACCUAAACUAGUUCAUCAUCAUGAAACCAUUACUAUAUGAAAUGUUAAAGGGACUUACUUAAGAAAAAGAUUGCUGGAUUGGAGGGGGAUAUGGGGGUAAGGGUAAAAAGGUGAGGGGAUUAAGAAGUACAAAUUGGUAGUUACAGAACAGCCAUGGGGAUGUAAAGUACAGUAUAGGAAACGGAGUAGCCAAAGAACUUACACACAUCAGCCAUGGACAUGAACAAUGGUGUGGAAAUUGCCUGAGGGAUUGCAGGGUGCUAGAUUGAAGGGGGAAAAGGGGGUAAAACUGGGACAACUGUAAUAGCAUAAUUGAUAAAAUAUAA